rnacentral:rRNA from 1 species
CAACGCGACCCCAGUCAGGC